rnacentral:rRNA from 1 species
CUUUUGACCUCGGAUCAGGUAGGAUACCCGCUGAAAAAAAAGCAUAAAAAUAAGCGGAGGAAAACA